UGUUAUGGCGGCUGUGCAUGGGCAGACUUCGGUCUGGCCGGUUUCCUUUGUGGCCGGUUUCUCACCCCGUGCACAGUCGUCUCCAAG
rnacentral:antisense_RNA from 1 species